GGCCCGGUGGCGAAAUCGGGAGACGCAGCGGGCUUAAACCCCGUGGUCCUGGCGACAUGAGGGUUCGAUCCCCUCCCGGGCUA
rnacentral:tRNA from 1 species